GUUUUGUGGAGUGACGUGAGGAGAUGAGCUGGGGCAAGUGACACAAGAGGAUCUGUGGAGGAUGUGUUGAGGUGUCUGCCAGGGUGUUAGGUGUACUUUGAGAUAUUUUGGGGUAUGUUUGGGGUACCUGUGAAGGUGUCUGUGUGGGUGUCAGUGGGGAUCUUGUGGAUGUCUGUGGUGGUGUGUGUGGUUUGUGAGUUGUGUUGGUGAGGGUGAUUGUGGGGCAUCUGUUGGGUGUCUUUGAAGUGAGUCUAGAGUUUCUAUAAAGUGGGUGUGCAGAUAUUCAUGGGAUGCCUGUGGGGCAUCUGUGAGGGUCUAUGCAUUUGGGUUUGGGGAUUUUUUGUGGGGUGUUUCUGGUUGUCUGUGGGUCUGCCCUGUGGACAAGUGCCUGGGAAGGUGGUCUGUGUACCUGGGAAAUGACUUCUGUGGCUUUUCUGUGUGCUCUGCCUGUGGGUAGCUGUGUCUGUGAACUUAGCUCUAUGAAAGCAAGAAGCCUAUGAGAAUUCCGCCAGGGGCAAGCCUGGCCUUGGCGCUUCACUGUCUUAGCGUGUGUCUGGCCCUCCCAUUCCUGGCCAAGGCCCACAGCCACCACAGAUGACCUGCUGAUGCCUCUGCUGAAAUCCGUGGCCACUGGCCAACAGCUUGACAAGAGUGUCAGCUCCCUCCCGAGACGAAAUCAGAGGAAAACGCCUCUAGUUUCUAAGAAGCACACAGGGAGCCACUUCUUUACCGCUAGCUCCUGCAGGAUCUGUGGGAUCCUGCAGGUGCUGGUUUGCCUCCUGAGCCCUGUCCUAAGGACACUCUGCACAUCGCCUCCUGCUUCUGUGGCAAUUAUGGUGGCCAUGUGACUGACUUCUGGAGUAUGAGCAGAAGUGACACACAGCACUGAAGGCAUAGCACAUAAAAUCACCCUGAAUGACCACCCACUCCAUCUCUUCCCCAGAAUGCUGCCCGCUGCAGAGGACCCAAAGCCCUAGGGGGGAGCCUGGGUCCCCGAGUCACCCACCAAAUGCAUGCAAGGAGCUGUUACAUAAGCAGAAAGUGAAUUUCUAUUGUGAGAAGCCACUAAACUUGGGAGUUAUUCAUUAUAGCAGUUUGCCUGCCCUGACUAAUACAGACUGAUUCAUACUAAUAUGUUAUAUCUGAUUCUCUUAACAUUUUAUGUUUAGCUGAAAUGUUCAUCCUGACAUUUGCUAUGACUAGUUUAGGUUUCAUUCCUCUAUCCCCUGAACCAG
rnacentral:lncRNA from 1 species